GUGGGGAAUCUUGCGCAAUGGGCGAAAGCCUGACGCAGCCAUGCCGCGUGAAUGAUGAAGGUCUUAGGAUUGUAAAAUUCUUUCACCGGGGACGAUAAUGACGGUACCCGGAGAAGAAGCCCCGGCUAACUUCGUGCCAGCAGCCGCGGUACUACGAAGGGGGCUAGCGUUGCUCGGAAUUACUGGGCGUAAAGGGCGCGUAGGCGGACAGUUUAGUCAGAGGUGAAAGCCCAGGGCUCAACCUUGGAAUUGCCUUUGAUACUGGCGAUCUUGAGUGUGAGAGAGGUAUGUGGAACUCCGAGUGUAGAGGUGAAAUUCGUAGAUAUUCGGAAGAACACCAGUGGCGAAGGCGACAUACUGGCUCAUUACUGACGCUGAGGCGCGAAAGCGUGGGGAGCAAACAGGAUUAGAAACCCGGGUAGUCC
rnacentral:rRNA from 1 species